AACGAGACAUUUCUAUUAAAUCUCAUUGUUAUCUGUUGGCGACAUUCAAAUAUACAUCCAACUAUUGUUGUCAAAAUUAAUCCAUCGAAAUAAACGCAUAUGAAAAACUGAUUAUCCAUCUUCAAUACUAAAUCUGUUAAAAAAUAAACAAAAAUUCUCAAUACAAUUUUAAACAACAAAAAAAUUAUUUAAAUAAAAAAUUUAAUGAAAAAAAAGAUCAACAUUAUAUCAAUAUGCAAAACUUUU
rnacentral:lncRNA from 1 species